GACGAACGCUGGCGGCGUGCCUAAUACAUGCAAGUCGAACGCUGAAGGAGGAGCUUGCUCUUCUGGAUGAGUUGCGAACGGGUGAGUAACGCGUAGGUAACCUGCCUGGUAGCGGGGGAUAACUAUUGGAAACGAUAGCUAAUACCGCAUAAGAGUAGAUGUUGCAUGACAUUUACUUAAAAGGUGCAAUUGCAUCACUACCAGAUGGACCUGCGUUGUAUUAGCUAGUUGGUGGGGUAACGGCUUACCAAGGCGACGAUACAUAGCCGACCUGAGAGGGUGAUCGGCCACACUGGGACGGAGACACGGCACAGACGCCUACGGGAGGCAGCAGUAGGGAAUCGUCGGCAAUGGACGGAAGUCUGACCGAGCAACGCCGCGGGAGUGAAGAAGGUUGUCGGAUCGGAAAGCUCUGUUGUAAGAGAAGAACGAGUGUGAGAGUGGAAAGUUCACACUGUGACGGUAUCUGACCAGAAAGGGACGGCUAACUACGUG
rnacentral:rRNA from 1 species